rnacentral:rRNA from 1 species
GUGACCUCAGGUCAGGCGGGGCUACCCGCUGAGUUUAAGCAUAUCAAUAAGCGGAGGAAAAG